GACGAACGCUGGCGGCGUGCUUAACACAUGCAAGUCGAACGGGAAGGCCCUGCUUGCAGGGUACUCGAGUGGCGAACGGGUGAGUAACACGUGGGUGCUCUGCCCUGCACUUCGGGAUAAGUUUGGGAAACUGGGUCUACUACCGGAUAGGAGCCAUUUUUUGUGUGAUGGUUGGAAAGUUUUUUCGGUGUAGGAUGAGCUCGCGGCCUAUCUGCUUGUUGGUGGGGUCAUGGCCUACCAAGGCGGAGGCGAGUAGCAGGACUGAGAUUGUGGACGGCCACAGUCACACUGGGAUUGGGCCCAGACUCAUACGGCAGGCAGCAGUGGCGAAUGGUGAAAAAUGGGAGUAAGCCUGACGCAGCGCCGCCGAGUGGGGGAUGACGGUCUUCGGGUUGUAAUCGUCUUUCGCUAGGGACGAAGCUUUUAGUGACGGUACCUAGAUAAGAAGCCCCGGCUAACUACGUG
rnacentral:rRNA from 1 species